CCAUUAUAUAAGCUCACAGACAAUGUGACUGCUGCUGCUCCUUGACCGGCCUCACUUGGCCAGGAGCUACGGGGUUUCCUAGUCCUUCCCUUCCAGGUCUCUCUUUAGAAGAUUCAGGAGGAACGGCAAUGUGUGCAAUGUGUUCUUUAGGAAUGUAGCUGGGGACUAGUGGUAGAUUUAAAUCCUUCAAGCAGUCACUUUCAAAGACUACCGCCCCCACCUCUUUGGGAAGGGCAAUUUUUAGGUCUCCUGAAUGUUACUAUCUUCUUUUCACCGAUUGAAGGGCACGACCGUGUUUUUCACUGGACAGAUGGCUCCCCUGCGGUGAAGCUGCAGGCAACAUCCGUGUAGUUCUGCAGCCCCAGCUACCUGCUGGUGUAUCUAUCUUCCCAGCCUCCGCACGCAGGGAUCUAACCACAGCUCCUCCAGCCCUCUGGCCCCUGCCUAAUUGGUUGCAGUGCAAGAGCUAAUGUAGGUUGAGAGCCCAAUUAACGGAGCUUGUUUCUACCAACGUUGCAUCUGAACAUCAAUUACGCUAACAACGCUCUAAAUUAAGACGUUUUGCUGCCACCACCAUUUGCUAUGGGACACUUCAGAGAAGAGCAGAGAGGAGAGGAGCGGCUUGCCUGAAGGUUCUUCUGUGCUCACUGGUCUCACGAUGUUACCCUCACUGGUCUGGAAAGCCCUGUGUGUACUCCAUAAAGACUCCAAGUUUACUAUCCUCCUGCCUCAAGCCUCUGAAGUACCGGGAUUCCUGCAAUGUGCCACCACUGUCAUUACUUUAUGAUAGGGGGAAACCCCACAGAUGCAGACUAAACACAAGGAUUACAGCCUCCCCCAUCAGACACUCAGAAGACAACGAGCCAGAUCUUCAGAGCACGAUGACGAAACCAGACGGCACUGCUAACUCUCCAAGCUGUAUUUCUCCUGAGGGGAAAACAGGCAUAACAGGAAGUGGAAAUAAAGUAGAAACCCUUUUAUUCAAGAAUGAC